rnacentral:rRNA from 1 species
UAAUUAAAGAUAUUGAAUUUAACUUUUAAGUGAAAAGGCUUAAAUGAUCUGAAGGGAAGAUAAGACCCUAUAAAACUUUAUAUUUAAGAGUAGAAAUAAAUUUUAUUUAAAGAUUACUAUUUUAUAAUAUUUGGUUGGGGCGACCAGGAUAGAAUAAAGAGUAACUGUCUUUUUUUCUUACAAUAAUAUUUGGUUUAAUGAUCCUAAAAUGGAUUAAAGAUUAAGUUACUUUAGGGAUAACAGCGUAAUUUUCUUUAAGAGUUCUUAUCGACAGGAAAGUUUGCGACCUCGAUGUUGAAUUAAAGGUUCUUUAUAGAGUAGAGACUAUAACAGAAGGUCUGUUCGACCUUUAAAAUUUUACAUGAUUUGAGUUCAGACCGG